rnacentral:lncRNA from 1 species
GGAGUCUUAGGGAUUCCCCCAAAGUGGAUUGGAAACUUUACCUCCUGUGUAACAGAGUUGGGAGGCGGGGCUUAAUGGGAGGUAUGUAGGUCACCAGGGCUCCAGGACCCUUGCAAACAGAUCAAUGCCCAUUGUGAAAGGGCUUGGGCUGCCUGUUCCAUCUCUUGCUGGCUCUCUGUCACCUUAUCUUGCCCUACUACCGUCUGCCACAGGAGCAUGCAGCACCAAGUCCCCCAGCAGAUGCAGGGCCCUCACCUGGGACUUCCUGGCCCCCAGAACUGUAAGAACAAAUUCUUAUGCUUCUAAUGAUCCAGUCUGUGGUGUUCUGUGAUAGCAACGCAAAGCGGAGCACCUCUAGAGAUCACCCACCACUUCAAGUACACGCAGCAAGUAUGUAUGGAGUGUUGCCAGGCAGUGUGCUCAGGUCUUGGUACACGGCAGAGCAGGAAAGAGCUUGAAGGCUCCUUCAGUGUGCAUAGAAGAAGGGAGCCAGACGUCCAUCACAUAGCCACUCAGAGAAUGGAGUGGGGUGGGCCGAGGGCAGAAAUUGACAUCCUAGGUAGGGAAACACAGGCCACUGUGAUAUCUCAACAUAGAAAAGGACAGCAGUGGUCCCAGGAUGUUCUUAUUUAAUGGUUAUAGGUUUUUGCCAGAGGACCAGAAAUCCUUCCCCUGCACCCCCACGUCUCUCUCUCUCUCUUUCUCUCUCUCUCUCUCUCUCUCUCUCUCUCUUUCUCUCUCUCUCUCUCUCUCUCUCUCCCUCUCUCCCUCUCCCUCUCUCUUUCCCUCUCUCUUUCUGUGCAGAGGAUUGAACCCAGCACCUUGCACCUGCUAAGCAAGGACUCUAUCCACAACUCAGCUCCUGAGUCUCCUAUAGAAAAGAUAGAUAUUGAUAACUUGUCUUGCAGCUCAGGGUAAAAUAGCACUUUACAGGAUAUUGAGGAAACGAGAAUUGCCUACAUCAGAGAAUGAGAAGGAGAGGAACUGAAGAUGGAGAUGGUGGCUGCAGCCUGUUCCAGGCCUCUGGACCCUGCUGUUGGGAAAGCCCUUGCUACACCUGGAAGAAAGGAGACCCUUGCAAUAGGGUAUCCUGGACAGAGGAGAGUUCAGGGCACCAGAUGACAGGAGAGGCACCGGGGGCUAAUGUGGAAGCCCUGGAGGACAGGAUUUCCACAGUGGGAAUCUGGGUCACCCCGGGAUUGUUUUAUGCAUGGGAACUCAUGGUUCUCAGUAGGCUCUGGACUUCAUCCUGCAGGCAAAGGGAAGCCAUGGAAGGGUCUGAAAGAGAGGAUAUGGUGUGUUUUGCGGAUGUUCUGCCUCUGGGGCUGGGGUUGAGUGGAGGGGGAUGAUGGGGAAGCCGGGGCGGAAGCCACGCUGGGUAGACGUGCUCCUUACUCCACUCAUCUGUCCUGGGGCAUCCAGUCAUGGGAGUCCCCAGGGUCUGGCUGCACCCCAGAGAGACAGGUACAUUGACCCUGGCUCUCAGGUUGUCCGCUUCUUGGGCCCCAGAUUGCUGACACUCACUGUCGGCGUAAUGGUUGGAGGUCCAAGGAUUCACCUCUUCCGCCGUCUGUGCAGGAUGGUCCAGGAGGUGAGAUGUCCUCUGUGCUUCUCAGGUUGUCUGGCCCCGUGUGUCUGUGAUCUGAGCUCUGCUGAGGGUGGGAGUCCGAUUCCCAGGCUGGGGUCAAGUGCACCCCCCAGGGCUCCUGCUGUGGGCCUGGGCAGAGGGGAGCCCAGCGACUCAGCUCUUCCCAGUCAGAGGCUGGGCUCAGCGACUCCAGUCUCAGGCUGGUGCUAUCCCAACUGGCCUCCAUCUUUCAGGUGAAUGACACAUUUUUUCAGUCUCUCUGUGUUUUGAACGAGAGGCCGACAGAGAGAGGAGGCUGUGAAUUACAAUCACAGUUUCCUGCCGCAGAGCACACAGAUGAGCAUUGAUCUCAGACUCUCUUACUGUCAUCAUUUACUGAGUGCUGGAAAGACUUGCACAUAAUUCAGUGGAGGAAAACAGAAUUCUGGUCGCCAGCCGCAUGUCAACAAAACACCCGGAUAAUAUGGGCGGCUGAAACAGAGAGAAGCAAGCCUCGACCCAGCAUUAGUCUCCAGAUCAACAUUAU